UACGUAGGGUGCAAGCGUUGUCCGGAAUUAUUGGGCGUAAAGAGCUCGUAGGCGGUUUGUCGCGUCGAAUGUGAAAACCCGGGGCUCAACCCCGGGCCUGCAUUCGAUACGGGCAGACUAGAGUUCGGUAGGGGAGUCUGGAAUUCCUGGUGUAGCGGUGAAAUGCGCAGAUAUCAGGAGGAACACCGGUGGCGAAGGCGGGACUCUGGGCAUUACCUGACGCUGAGGAGCGAAAGCCAGGGGAGCAAACGGGA
rnacentral:rRNA from 1 species